UUCUUUCUCUCUUCAUUCCUAUUUGGGAGGUUCAACUAGUCAUCCGCUACCCCUUGCUAUCGGUUAAUACCUCCAUUUCUCCAAACAGAUCCUUAAGUUAUAACUCUUACCUUCAGAUGGCAUCAUCAUCUUGGACACCGAGGCAAAACAAACUAUUUGAACGAGCUUUGGCUUUAUACGAUAGAGAAACCCCUGAUAGGUGGCAGAAUGUUGCUAGAGAGGUGGGAAAAUCUGUUGAGGAGGUUAAAAGGCAUUAUGAGAUCCUUAAAGAAGAUGUCAAACGCAUAGAGCAUGGUCAAGUCUCAUACCCCCCGUAUAGUAACCACGCAUAAGGGUUCUACAAUAAAUAGCACAGGCUCUCGAGGCUUCUAAAUCUAACUCAAGAAGGUGUAGCAUGUUGCUGAUGAUUAUUAAAUAAACAAAAGUAUUGUUAGACACACUAUACAAGAGUCCAAUUGCAAGCUACUAUGCAACUAUGAUAGUCUUCUAGCCUGUUUUCCUCCUUUUAUUUGUAAAACAAUAUCUAUCUAUGUUGAAGUCUUGUCGAAUUACUCUAUAUAUAUAAAUCAUUAUUAUUAUA